GGUUAAGCGACUAAGCGUACACGGUGGAUGCCCUGGCAGUCAGAGGCGAUGAAGGACGUGCUAAUCUGCGAUAAGCGUCGGUAAGGUGAUAUGAACCGUUAUAACCGGCGAUUUCCGAAUGGGGAAACCCAGUGUGUUUCGACACACUAUCAUUAACUGAAUCCAUAGGUUAAUGAGGCGAACCGGGGGAACUGAAACAUCUAAGUACCCCGAGGAAAAGAAAUCAACCGAGAUUCCCCCAGUAGCGGCGAGCGAACGGGGAGCAGCCCAGAGCCUGAAUCAGUGUGUGUGUUAGUGGAAGCGUCUGGAAAGGCGCGCGAUACAGGGUGACAGCCCCGUACACAAAAAUGCACAUGCUGUGAGCUCGAUGAGUAGGGCGGGACACGUGGUAUCCUGUCUGAAUAUGGGGGGACCAUCCUCCAAGGCUAAAUACUCCUGACUGACCGAUAGUGAACCAGUACCGUGAGGGAAAGGCGAAAAGAACCCCGGCGAGGGGAGUGAAAAAGAACCUGAAACCGUGUACGUACAAGCAGUGGGAGCACGCUUAGGCGUGUGACUGCGUACCUUUUGUAUAAUGGGUCAGCGACUUAUAUUCUGUAGCAAGGUUAACCGAAUAGGGGAGCCGAAGGGAAACCGAGUCUUAACUGGGCGUUAAGUUGCAGGGUAUAGACCCGAAACCCGGUGAUCUAGCCAUGGGCAGGUUGAAGGUUGGGUAACACUAACUGGAGGACCGAACCGACUAAUGUUGAAAAAUUAGCGGAUGACUUGUGGCUGGGGGUGAAAGGCCAAUCAAACCGGGAGAUAGCUGGUUCUCCCCGAAAGCUAUUUAGGUAGCGCCUCGUGAAUUCAUCUCCGGGGGUAGAGCACUGUUUCGGCAAGGGGGUCAUCCCGACUUACCAACCCGAUGCAAACUGCGAAUACCGGAGAAUGUUAUCACGGGAGACACACGGCGGGUGCUAACGUCCGUCGUGAAGAGGGAAACAACCCAGACCGCCAGCUAAGGUCCCAAAGUCAUGGUUAAGUGGGAAACGAUGUGGGAAGGCCCAGACAGCCAGGAUGUUGGCUUAGAAGCAGCCAUCAUUUAAAGAAAGCGUAAUAGCUCACUGGUCGAGUCGGCCUGCGCGGAAGAUGUAACGGGGCUAAACCAUGCACCGAAGCUGCGGCAGCGACACUAUGUGUUGUUGGGUAGGGGAGCGUUCUGUAAGCCUGUGAAGGUGUGCUGUGAGGCAUGCUGGAGGUAUCAGAAGUGCGAAUGCUGACAUAAGUAACGAUAAAGCGGGUGAAAAGCCCGCUCGCCGGAAGACCAAGGGUUCCUGUCCAACGUUAAUCGGGGCAGGGUGAGUCGACCCCUAAGGCGAGGCCGAAAGGCGUAGUCGAUGGGAAACAGGUUAAUAUUCCUGUACUUGGUGUUACUGCGAAGGGGGGACGGAGAAGGCUAUGUUGGCCGGGCGACGGUUGUCCCGGUUUAAGCGUGUAGGCUGGUUUUCCAGGCAAAUCCGGAAAAUCAAGGCUGAGGCGUGAUGACGAGGCACUACGGUGCUGAAGCAACAAAUGCCCUGCUUCCAGGAAAAGCCUCUAAGCAUCAGGUAACAUCAAAUCGUACCCCAAACCGACACAGGUGGUCAGGUAGAGAAUACCAAGGCGCUUGAGAGAACUCGGGUGAAGGAACUAGGCAAAAUGGUGCCGUAACUUCGGGAGAAGGCACGCUGAUAUGUAGGUGAAGUCCCUCGCGGAUGGAGCUGAAAUCAGUCGAAGAUACCAGCUGGCUGCAACUGUUUAUUAAAAACACAGCACUGUGCAAACACGAAAGUGGACGUAUACGGUGUGACGCCUGCCCGGUGC
rnacentral:rRNA from 1 species